AAAUGAAGGUGCGAACGGAUCAACUCAUGUAGUAACAAUUUUCAAUCCUUAUUAGUCUCGCAGUUUCUUAAUUUUUCAUUUUUUAUUUAUAGUUUUCUUUGUCGUUAACCAUUGGCAUGCUAACAUAAUCACAUCUAAGUUUCCCGGGCGAGGUACCACGAACUGAUUAUUGUAUUCUCUAGGAUAUUAUAUUGAAAGGAAGCAUCAAUUUAUUUUCAAGAGUGCGAAUGAUAUGGGAAUGUUAAUGUUGAUUAUCCAUUAGAAGGGAGCAUGUCUACUACGUCCUAUAUAGAUUUGGAAGCACAAUAAAACACAUUCUGAAUAGAAGUUAUGACAUCCGAGCAUUUUGUAUGUCUUACAUUACAUCGAUCUCCAUACUUAAUUCACGGGUUCUGUGAUGACGGUGAGUACGUUCACCGAGGAUGAUCUUUGGAGAAGAUGAUAAUGUUACAGGUGAUGGCAAACAUGUUUCCGUAAGAAGGCACCGGAGUAACCUGGCCACUACAAAUAUAAGGAUAGCACAAAUCAUAUCGGGACUGGGGGAGGCGACGCGAAGCCAAAGCCGAGCUUUACCAAAUCAUAUCGCGACUGGGCAAGGCGAAGCCGAAUCCUAGCUUUACCCAAUCAUAUCGGGACGGGGAGAGGCGAAGCCGAGCUUCACCAAAUCAAAAAUAUGGUUCAAAAAAAGAGGCAGUGAGGCAUUGUAUUUGUAAUUGUGCAUAACUAUGUCAUUCUAUUUGUAGUUGGAGAUUGAAUUGGUGAACCAAGUUUA